AUCAGCUAGUUGGUGAGGUAAUGGCUCACCAAGGCGACGACGGGUAGCGGGACUGAGAGGUUGGCCCGCCACAUCGGGACUGAGACACUGCCCGGACCUCCACGGAGGGCUGCAGUAACGAAUAUUGGGCAAUGGGCGAAAGCCUGACCCAGCAAUGCCGCGUGCAGGAUGAAGCCUUUCGGGGUGUAAACUGCUUUCAGGGAUUAGAAAGCUACGGUUGAUCAAUCCCAGAAGAAGUCACGGCUAACUUCGUGCCAGCAGCCGCGGUAAUACGAAGGUGGCAAGCGUUAUUCGAAAUCACUGGGCUUAAAGGGCGCGUAGGCGGACAUGAUAGUGCUUUGUGAAAUCCCUCGGCUUAACCGGGGAAUGGCUGGGCAUACUACAUGUCUUGAGGCAAGUAGGGGUGUGUGGAACUCUUGGUGGAGCGGUGGAAUGCGUAGAUAUCAAGAGGAACGCCGAAGGUGAAGACAGCACACUGGACUUGUACUGACGCUGAGGCGCGAAAGCGUGGGGAGCAAACAGGAUUAGAUACCCUGGUAGUCCACGCCGU
rnacentral:rRNA from 1 species